rnacentral:lncRNA from 13 species
AAUUAAUGUAGAAUGAUUGUAAGUAUUACACAAAUAACAAACCUCACUACUGUGUUCUCUCAUCAGAUUUAACCCACCCCCAUGAUCAUGGGAACCAUGGAGCUGUAGUUUAGGUGGUGCUGAGACCUCCUUUUCAGCUCUCAGCUGCCUUUAUGCAGUGUUGUAGAGCUUGCUUUAUGCCACAGUCAGACCAAAUGUGACAGAAAAACUGCCUUGGGUCAACCACACCUGCCAAUGGGCUUCCCAGUAAAACCUCAGAAGAUGUCCUGACAAGCUCUGCCUGACAUUUUUGCCUCCAGUUUCACAGUGAUGAUGACACCACCAUGCUUGCCUCCCUGGGAACCUGGCAGAAGAACCUGACUGUGCACAAAGGUAUUGACAGCUUUCUGUUGCUAAGUAAGAGGUGUUUCCAUUCAGCAGACUGAAAGUGGGGCAUUGCACCAAUCUGUACUCGUAAUAAAAAGGAACAGUGCAAACCAGAUUUUAGCAAUUCUUGUAAUAGCUGUAAGUAUUGCAUUUUGCAAAGCAGUGAUUUUGUUGGUACAGUAACACUUCAUUGUGCUUUAAACAAAGUCUGUAGGGUGAUAUGAGGACAGAUUAAAUAAGGCUUUAUCUCUGCAUAGAGGGCCCACGGAACAUCUAUACGACUGAAGCUCCUUAAGACUCAAGGAAAUUAAAGCCAAGUUUCUGUCCUGAAGGGAAUCCUGGAGUAAAAUAUUAAUUUUUGAGUUUUAUUGUAAAUACAUAGGUAGCUAAAUAUGCUAAUUUUUUUAAUGUAGUCAAUGUUUUUACUAUGAUAUUUUAUAUUAAGUAAUGGCAAUAUUGGAAAAGCACUGCUACAAAGUCUAGACAGAAUUAUAAUAAAUUUUUCUGAACUGUGCUCGCAUGUCCUUCGCAUUAUUUUCCAAGGAAUGUGAGGAUCCCUGAGUGUAUUGCAUAAGCCUUCAUUGAAGCAGUAGGAAGUAAUCUCCCUCCAAGUCCAGGAGGGCCAAAGUCUAAUUCAUGACUGGUAGUAGGCAGUUCCUCCUGGGGCAGAUGCAGCUGAGCCUCCUCCUCCCUGGGGUGCAGGUAACUGGGGCAAUGAGAAGCAAUGCACCCUGAGCACAUGAGGGGGUGAGAGCCAGCUGGGAAGGGCUGGGGGACACUGAAGAGCUGGGUUGGGCAGGGAUGACUGGAUAGAGAGGGGAAUGGUUUAUUGUGUUGUUGUGCUUUCUGUAUUUAUUAAACAAAUAAACACAACUCCUACCCUGUGAAUUUUUUUAGUUAGCUCCCUGACUAGAAAAUGAAACCUAAAAAAGUGAUUUAAGAGACCAGUGGCCAUGUAGCAGUAACUGGAGUUCCAGUUACUGAUUGAAAGAUGACAUAAUACAAUUAGAAAUAUUUUAGCUCUGUGUUUGAAUAACAAGGAGGAACGUACAUCCUCUUGGAAGAUAUUUAGGGAGAGAAAUUGCUCAUUGUGAAUUAUUUGU